GAUGAACGCUGGCGGCGUGCCUAAUACAUGCAAGUCGAGCGAACAGACGAGGAGCUUGCUCCUCUGACGUUAGCGGCGGACGGGUGAGUAACACGUGGAUAACCUACCUAUAAGACUGGGAUAACUUCGGGAAACCGGAGCUAAUACCGGAUAAUAUAUUGAACCGCAUGGUUCAAUAGUGAAAGACGGUUUUGCUGUCACUUAUAGAUGGAUCCGCGCAGCAUUAGCUAGUUGGUAAGGUGACGGCUUACCAAGGCAACGAUGCGUAGCCGACCUGAGAGGGAGAACGCACAGCCUGGAACAGAGACAGGGCCGAGACUCCGACAGUAGGCAGCAGUAGGGAAUCUUCCGCAAUGGACGAAAGCUUGACGGAGCAACGCCGCGGGAGUGAUGAAGGUCUUAGGAUGGUAAAACGCUGUUAUUAGGGAAGAUCAAAUGUGUAUGUAACUAUGCACGUCUUGACGGUACCUGAUCAGAAAGCCACGGCUAACUACGUG
rnacentral:rRNA from 1 species